CUUAGAAACUAAGUGAAAAAACAAAUUGCCCACGCGUGCCUUACUUCUCCCGCGUCUCUCUUGGCUCUCCUCUUCAUACUUUUGGUCUUCCAUUCUAUCUCUAUCUCUCUUUUGUUCACCGACUCUUUCCUGUUUCUUCUUUGGUGUGCUGUCAUGCUCUAAAAUAUUGGUUGUUCGUUGUUCAAGGAUUUGUAGGAUACAGGGCUCUAUUGUCAUCUGGGUUGGGAGGAGUGGGAUCAGAAUAGGUCGAUCUUCAUCCUUGUGGAUUUUUAUACCGGUAAGAAUUUUUUGUUGAUAAAACAAAUUUGAUGGACCUUGAUUUGGGUUGGGAGAUCAGUAAUCGAUGAGAGGGGUGCAUAUUGAAGAUGGUUGAAAAUCUGUAACAGCAAGAACAGACCACUGAUCCAUCUCUCUACAAGUCGAAAGCAACAAAACCUAGGGCUUAAGAUCGUCCCUAUUCUUUCCAUUAAUCUAUUUCUCUGCAAUUUUUUUCAAUGCCACCAUCACCUCACAAGUUCAUUUAGUUGAUUAGGGUUUGAUUAUGCUUUGUAGUUUUGUUAUUGUUUUUUGUGAUGGAUUCAUUCCUAGGGGUUUUGGUUUUUGUUUUCUGGAUGCAUAAUAGCAAUCCACUAACAUUUGUUAAGUCGAUUUGCUUAGCAACUAUAGGAUCCUGGUAUAAUCACCACUAGAAUUUCAAUGUUUAGAGGCAGAUGACCUUCGACUUCCACACCAACAAGAAGAUGUUAGAGGAGGUCGCCAUUAUUCCUUCGAAGCGCCUGCCCAACAAGAUCAUCGGAUUUUGUACCCACCUCAUGAAGUGAAUCCAGAGAGGCCCUGUUCAUAGAAUAUCUUUGAAGCUUCAAGAAGAAUAGCAUAAGCGGCGUAUGGACUUUGUGCCAGGGGAAUCUCCCAUUAAGACAUGUCAUCGAGAUGGACAAGGAGACGAUCAACAUGCUCGUUGCCCUCGGAAUGGCUGACCUACCCAGCAUUGUCAAUCAGGCUAAAUCGUUGCCCUCGGAAUCGUUGCCCUCGGUGCUGCUAGUGGGGCUGCACGGGGAAAACAUUAGCACGCAAGGCUAAGCAUUCUCCCUAGUCAACAAGCGGUGGAUGAGAAAUUGUCCACAUCAGAUGGAAGCAUCAGAGGACACAAGACAUAGUGCUAAGCUGAAGUUAUUUUUUGAGAAGUAUCCAAAAUCCCAAAAGUCCUCAUUGCAAUAAAUGUCAAAAUUUAGUAGUUAUCAUUUCGUUGUUUCAUUUUUUGGUGGCUGGGGUGGUUGGCUCUUUGAAAUAUAAUUGCAUUUGGAUUUAAUAGAAGUGGAAAAUUAGUCCUAAAAAGGAUUUAAAUGCUGAAACUGCCAAGCUAUAUGUAUACGAUUCUAUAGGAAUAAACCAAACUUAUUUUGAUCAUUUCUUUUGUAGAAAGAUAGCAUGUAUAGGUUGACUGUUGAAACUACAUGGUUGUGGAAUUGAUGAGAGAUAAAUGUGAUCUUAGUAAGAGUGAUUGUAAAAUGACCAUAAGGGUCAUUGCUUGGUGUAAUUGUAAAAUCUUGGGUUGACAAGAGUGACAGUGCAGGUUCAGGUUUUGAGAGUGGAGUUCACCUUUCCUACUGAUUCAGCUCCUUUCAGCAGCUACCAUGCUUCUACAAUUGUUGAGAGGGAGCCCUUGUUAUGAAAAUUUAGCUACAGACUUACAAGGACGGCUGUUGGUACCCUCCUAUUGUAGCUGAUGAAGAACCCAAUGUUUCAAUGUGGAAUCCGGUACUGUUUAAAUUUCCAUCUUAGGAGUUGCUUUUGUUCUACAAAAUUGGUCAAGAGGUACAAAAAUGAUGAUUACGAAAAUGCCCCAUAAAGCUGCCUCAAUCAAUCAUGGUGCUUCAUCACCAUUUUUGCUGCUGAAGCUUUAGUAGCAGAUUUGUACUCCUAAAGGGAAAUUACACCCAUGAUAGUCCCAGCCACCUGGGGUAAUGGGAGGGGUAGACUGGAUAUGGACCUAACCUUUGGCCAUUUUUUUUUUGUGUGUGUUCAAGGCCCCUCUCGGACUUGAACAUCUGUUCUCAUGCUUGUCAACCUAGGAAUUUACUAUUGCACCAAGAAAUGGCCCCUUAAGGCACUUCUAUGAUUGAAUCAUACUCACAGUUAGCUCAUAUCUUUUCAUGUUCGAAGUUUAUGGUUGUUUGUUCCUCGUUGUGUAUUCAUGAUCUUGUUUAAAUAAAUCUGGCACCAGUUAGGUGGAUCAGUAUCAGGUUCAACCUUCUAGGGUUUGGUGGGUUCAAAAUUUGUGUCUUGUUAACUUGUGGUGGUGUAGGUUCAGGUGGAGGUAGUGAAGGGUCAGGUCAGGGUGGGUAGAGGAAAACCCAUGCUGAAUCCAACCUAUUGGCAUCCCCAAUUAUGAGUGAGAUGCAUGGUCCAUUUGGUUCGCAGUUGAAAUCAGAAUCAGAAUUAGAAUCAAAAUCAAAAUGGUCUAUUCCCUCCACCUGUUUGCUUCAAACUAGAAUCAUUUAGGGUUGUCUGACCCCAACUCAACUCAAAUGGACUUACAGCUAACUAUUUGGGGUUGGUUACACGAUUCCUUUUCAGUCAUUCUGAUAUACAUAUAUUUCUAGUGCCCAAACUCUGAUAACUCCAGAAUGCUCAGAAAGCAAAUAAUAGAAGAACAUGAACAAGGUCUUGAACUUGAGAGGAAACUCUUAGAAUUGCAGUUAGCACCUAAAGCAUUAACCCAUCAGCCUUAUUUUGGUUACAUGGAUGACUCGAAGCUCUCAGAAGGCCCAUCUUUGUUUCUCUAGAAAAUAAUUAAAAUUUUUAUUACUGCCUCGAGUUUUUCUCAUAUUAUUUCUCUUCCUGAUUUUCCUUUUUUUUUCUACACCAAAGCUGAUGUAGAUUUAUCAAAUGAAGCACAAUUUAUCAAAUAUGUUUAUAUUGCUCAUUUGAUUAUUUGGUUUCUCCCUUCAAAUUUUUGAUGCCUUCCUCUCUCGUGAAGCUAUGAAAAUUACAUUUUGUAUGCUUCCUUAAACAAUAUCUCGAGUUCACAUAUCUUAACAUCGGUUUAUUGGCAUGUGGUAACUUGUAUUUUUGUAAAAGUGUGAAUUGUCAACAUGGAUAAGUUGAGAUGGAAACUUUGACCUUGUUUGAUCAGUUUUGGGGUGGGUAAAAUGGUUAGAAAAUAAAAUCUUGAAUGUGGUGGGACUGGAAUUUACAUUUAAAAUGCACAUUUAGGAUUAUCAAGAUAGAAAAGGUUGUUGCUCUAAUCAACAGUCUUAAAGAUGUUUAUAUAUCUCCAUCCACAUCCUCACUAGAAUUUAGGGAUUUAGGGCCAUCGAUGUUGUGCACUAUCUAAAUGAGAUCAAUGACAUUUUUUUUUGCUUUGGAUUUCUAGUGAUCUCAACUCUGAAGCUGAUAGUUCCUAGUAGGGGUGUAGGAAAGGUCUUUCUAUACAAUUACCUAAGUUAUACACUUGAAACCUAAACAAACUAAAUCCACUGCUCUUACCCAAGUUCUAGGCCCCUUGAAACCUAAACUAACUAGCCCACUCUCACCCAAGUAUGCUGUUAAAAUUUCACAUGUUAGUGUUAUUGAGGAAAUGCAAUAACAUGAUUACUCUUUCACAAAUAAGUCUUUGCAUAGAGUUAGAUCAGUAUAAUUAAACAUGAUUACACUUGGGGUUUGGAUCUCACAUUGCUUGGAUUAUUUGAAUGGUAUGUGUAUAAUGUAUAUAGAAUUUUUAUAUUAAUUAAUUAAUAUAUUAAUUUUUGAUCCACAACAAAGGUCCUGAGGACGCAUUAUACAUAUAUAUGAGUAGAUUUCAGAUGCAAUGAUGGAGAUAUUUUAUUUUAUUUUUGUAAUUAUCAAUUAAAAAGAUUUGAUGUUGACUAUUGAACCAUAUUAAAUAUGGAUAUUUUGUAUUCAAUAAAAGAUGGGGCGAGAUUUAUUUGAGAAUUGUUUUAUCAUUUCAAAUAUAUUAUUGGUACAAUCUUUCUUUGUAUAGGUCAGAGCAAGUAUUUUUACAGUUUCACAAGCUUGUUUCCAAAAUAACUAUGCUAUAAAAAGCAAUAUGGCAACAUUAUUGAUACAAUGUUAGCAACGGUUUAUAUCGUCGAUUAAUCAAGUAACUUCAUAUUAUUUUUAGCCACGGUGUAAACCGUUCGCUAUAUAAACCUAUAGCAACGGCCAGAUGUUGAUCUGUUGCAAAAACUUUCGCAAUUAGCAACGGCCACAACCGUGGUUAUAUCCAUAUUUUUAGCCACGGUGUACAAAAUCCGUUGCUAAAUGUUUUAGCCACAGCAAUAUCCCCUACAGACAAAACCGUAGUUAAACCGUUGCUAAAGGUUUUAGCAACGGUCUUUUGGGAUUUGUAGCAACGGUUUUUUGGGAUUUGUAGCAACGGUUUUGUCCAUUGCUAAAUCCGGAUUUUCUUGUAAUAAUUGUAAUU